UUCCUGUUGUUCCAGUGGUUAGGAUAGUAGCCUCUCAAGCUGCAGGCCCGAGUUCGAUUCUCGGACGGGAAG
rnacentral:tRNA from 1 species